UUUCCGUAGGUGAACCUUCGGAAGGAUCAUUACCGUAACGCGGCGGUCCGGCAACCGCAAGGAAGUCGGCCGCCACACGCGUUUAUCACCCUUGACUUUGAGCACCUUUCGUUUCCUCGGCGGGUUCGCCCGCCAGCGAGGACCCCCACAAACCCUGAAGUGAGCGGUUACGUCUGAAAACAAACAAAAUCUAUCAAAACUUUCAACAACGGAUCUCUUGGUUCUGGCAUCGAUGAAGAACGCAGC
rnacentral:misc_RNA from 1 species